UGGAGUUCACCGACGGAGAAGAAGUUCUGACUAUCCUCUCAAAUCUGUAAAUUCGUCCAUCCCCUCCAGCGUUCCAGUGUUGCCGACGUGGGUCUCAAUUCCACCGCCAUGGGUGGUCUGUGUGAGAGGCAAAAAAGUUUGGUGCUCAAGGUUUUCGAACUUUCGACCGUCCUCUUCCUUUCUGAAAUAGCUCGUCACCACCGUGGGGAGAGUUUCAUCUGUUGCUUGAGCAUCUUCUUUUCUAAUCCUUUUCUCAGUUCGGCUGCCUCAUCCUGCUCCUUUUUGUUCUGUUCUGCUGGGUUUAGAUUCAUUAACUGACGCUGAUCCUACUGCCGACCUCAAAAGGGCAAUACAGCUAUAUUGGAUGAAAAUUAUGUUUGGUAUUGUUACCUUUAAUGUAAAUAUUUAAGUUUUAUGUAUUUUAAUUUAGAGGAAGAAUUAGUUGCUCAACAUAGAUUGUUGUUAAGACUUUAUUUUGAUUUAUAUAUUGUUACUGACUAGAAGGAGCUAAACUCCUGAUUGAUAUUGUAUUCUGUGAAAAUUGUUUUUGUAGAAUUUUCAGGAGAUCUUAUUUACAGGGGAGGUUUCGCCGAAAUUUCUACGAAAACGUUGAAGUCUUGUGAUAAUUAAUAUUAAAAGUGUUAGAAUUUA